GGACUACUGGGGUAUCUAAUCCCGUUCGCUCCCCACGCUUUCGCGCCUCAGCGUCAGGGUCGAGCCAGAGGGCCGCCUUCGCCACGGGUGUUCCUCCUGAUCUCUACGCAUUUCACCGCUACACCAGGAAUUCCACCCUCCUCUCUCGCCCUCAAGAACGACAGUUUCCAGCCACCCUCCCCGGUUGAGCCGGGGGCUUUCAGACCGGACUGAUCGUUCCGCCUACGCGCGCUUUACGCCCAGUAAAUCCGGACAACGCUUGCCCCCUACGUAUUACCGCGGCUGCUGGCAC
rnacentral:rRNA from 1 species